UGGGAUGGAACAACAUAUUUGUGUUCUGA
rnacentral:piRNA from 1 species